CGAGGCCGAGUCAGAUAGGUGGUCGGCCCACUUGGCGGCUGGGUGCCUUAAAAAGGAAGGGGUAGGAUCCGGCGUGUUGGGACACCAUCGCUCGCGUGUUGGAGAUCGAGAGAAGGAAACCCUAGCCGCCGUCGUCCAGAUCUGCUUGGGUUGGUGGAGGGUAUGGCUAUGGCGCUGCGCACCAUGGCCGCCAAGCUGAAGCAGAAGAUCCCCGCCGCUGUCCAGCGGGUUCGCGUCUCUUCUCGUGCUCCGGCACCUGCUGAUGCUGACUUCGACCGCUUCGGCUUCGGCCCAGAGUUUCGCCGGGCACUGGACAAGAUUGUAGAGAAACACAGGAAGAGGCGCAGGGAUGAGGCCUUGGCCUGUGGUGCUGGCUUCAGUCUUGGAGCACUCACCUUUUUGCUUGGGGUCCAUAGGCUCGGUUGAAGGGAGAUGGCUCAAUGGUGAAUGACUGGAAUAUCUAUCCUGCACCGCAUGUUCUACUAUCUACUACUGCACCCGCAAGUUCUACUAUCUACUAGUACUCUAUAUAUCAUGCAUGUUUUAACUAGCCGGUGUACUCUGUAAUUCCUGGCUUGUGUGUUAUGUAAGAUCACUACUGUAUGUACAAUGGGGAUCCAGGUUCUGUGGGAUCUAAUUUCGGUGGUUGCAUGUGGGAUGUAAGGGCACUCUAUCGCCACUCUUAUCUGUUGUUAUCAGAGAUCUAUAUUCAGCCGUGUUGUUAAUC